rnacentral:rRNA from 1 species
CCCGGCCGACAAGACGGAGGAAGGCAUGUGGGUUUAAGUUUCGUAUGAUACGCGAGGGAACCUUACCUGGGCUCGAACGUAAGAUGACUGUAGGUGAAAGCUUACAUCUCUUCGGAGCAUUUUACGAGGUGCUGCAUGGUUGUCGUCAGCUCGUGCCGUGAGGUGUCGGGUUAAGUCCCAUAACGAGCGCAACCCCUACCUUUAGUUGCCAUCAGGUUAAGCUGGGGACUCUAAAGGAACUGCCUACGCAAGUAGUGAGGAAGGCGGGGAUGACGUCAAAUCAGCACGGCCCUUACGUCCAGGGCUACACACGUGCUACAAUGGCCGAUACAGAGGGCAGCUACCUGGUGACAGGAUGCAAAUCUCCAAAGUCGGUCUCAGUUCGGAUCGGAGUCUGCAACCCGACUCCGUGAAGUUGGAUUCGCUAGUAAUCGCGCAUCAGCCAUGGCGCGGUGAAUACGUUCCCGGGCCUU